UGUGGGAGGGGGCUUGCUCCCGAUAGCGGUGGGUCAGUGUCAGUUGUAUUGACUGAUCCAUCGCUAUCGGGAGCAAGCCCCCUCCCACA
rnacentral:misc_RNA from 1 species